ACGCUCGACACCUACGGGAGGCAGCAGUUGGGAAUAUUGGACAAUGGAGGAAACUCUGAUCCAGUGACGCCGCGUGAAGGAAGAAGGUCUUCGGAUUGUAAACUUAUUUUGUCAGGGAAGAAAAAUGACUGUACCUGAAGAAAAAGCACCGGCUAACUACGUGCCGGCAGUCGCGGUAAUCUGAGCGGGCUGGCAAGGC
rnacentral:rRNA from 1 species